AGUGAACGCUGGCGGUAGGCCUAACACAUGCAAGUCGAACGGCAGCACAGUAAGAGCUUGCUCUUACGGGUGGCGAGUGGCGGACGGGUGAGGAAUACAUCGGAAUCUACUUUUUCGUGGGGGAUAACGUAGGGAAACUUACUCUAAUACCGCAUACGACCUACGGGUGAAAGCAGGGGAUCUUCGGACCUUGCGCGAUUGAAUGAGCCGAUGUCGGGUUAGCUAGUUGGCGGGGUAAAGGCCCGCCAAGUCGACGAUCCGUAGCUGGUCUGAGAGGAUGGUCAGCCGCACUGGAACUGAGCCGCGGUCCAUGCUCCUACGGGAGGCAGCAGUGGGGAACAUUGGACAGUGGGCGCAAGCCUGGUCCAGCCAUACCGCGUGGGUGAAGAAGGCCUUCGGGUUGUAAAGCCCUUUUGUUGGGAAAGAAAAGCAGCAGGUUAAUACCCAGCUGUUCUGACGGUACCCAAAGAAUAAGCACCGGCUAACUUCGUG
rnacentral:rRNA from 1 species